rnacentral:rRNA from 1 species
CCUACGGGGGGCAGCAGUGAGGAAUAUUGGUCAAUGGACGAGAGUCUGAACCAGCCAAGCCGCGUGAAGGAUGACUGCCCUAUGGGUUGUAAACUUCUUUUAUAUGGGAAUAAAAUGUUCCACGUGUGGGAUUUUGUAUGUACCAUAUGACUAAGGAUCGGCUAACUCCGUGCCAGCAGCCGCGGUAAUACGGAGGAUCCGAGCGUUAUCCGGAUUUAUUGGGUUUAAAGGGAGCGUAGGUGGAUUGUUAAGUCAGUUGUGAAAGUUUGCGGCUCAACCGGAGAAUUGCAGUUGAAACUGGCAGGCUUGAGUACAGUAGAGGUGAGUGGAAUUCGUGGUGUAGCGGUGAAAUGCUUAGAUAUCACGAAGAACGCCGAUUGCGAAGGCAGCUCACUGGACUGCAACUGACACUGAGGCUCGAAAGUGUGGGUAUCAAACAGGAUUAGAUACCCGAGUAGUC